rnacentral:rRNA from 1 species
CAGCAGCCACGGUAAUACAGAGGAUGCAAGCGUUAUCCGGAAUGAUUGGGCGUAAAGCGUCUGUAGGUGGCUUUUCAAGUCCGCCGUCAAAUCCCAGGGCUCAACCCUGGACAGGCGGUGGAAACUACCAAGCUGGAGUACGGUAGGGGCAGAGGGAAUUUCCAGUGGAGCGGUGAAAUGCGUUGAGAUCGAAAAGAACACCAACAGCGAAAGCACUCUGCUGGGACGACACUGACACUAAGAGACGAAAGCUAGGGGAGCAAAUGGGAUUAGAUACCCCUGUAGUCCCUGUCUCUUAUAC